rnacentral:rRNA from 1 species
GCAGGCAAUGGAUGCCUAGGGCGCUAAAGCCGAAGAAGGACGUACGUGGCCACGAUAGUCGUCGGGGAGCUGCCAAGAAGCUGUGAUCCGACGGUGUCCGAAUGGGGAAACCCCUCCUUUAAGGAGACUCCGAUGUUAUGUCGGGGGGGGCACGUCCCGAACUGAAACAUCUAAGUAGGGACAGGAAAAGAAAUCAAAGAGAUUCCGUAAGUAAGCGGUGAGCGAAAGCGGAAAAGCCUAAACCCAGUCAUUGUGCGCAAGUACUUCGACCGGGUGUUGCGGGAAGGCUGAGGGAUCAAACGAGGGUAGUCGAACUGUCUGGAAAGGCAGGCUAUAAAACGUGAUAGCCGUGUAGGCGAAACCCGAGUUUGCUUGAAGCCGAAUUCCCAAGUACCAUGAGGCAAAUACCUUGUGGGAAUCUGGGGUGACCACACUCCAAGGCUAAAUACUUUAGCGGACCGAUAGUGAACUAGUACCGUGAGGGAAAGGCGAAAAGAAGGGUGAGAAACCUAGUGAAAUAGAACCUGAAAUUGUCUGCUGUCAAGCAGACGGAGCCCCUCCGCAAGGUCGGGGUAACGUCGUGCCUAUUGAAGAAUGAUCCGGCGAGUUUUCGAUUGUUGCGAGUUUAAGCCCGUAAUUCGGGAUUAGGCGAAGCGAAAGCGAGUCUUAAUAGGGCGUUUAGCAGCAGUUGGAAGACCCGAAACCUGGUGAGCUAACCAUGAGCAGGGUGAGUCCCGGUGAAAACCGGGAGGAGGCCCGCACCCGUCAGAGUUACAAAUCUGUGGGACGACUUGUGGUUAGGGGUAAUAUGCCAAUCGAACCAGGAGAUAGCUGGCUCUCCCCGAAAUAUAUAUAGGUAUAGCCUCUCUCUAUAGUGCUUUUCAGGUAGAGCACUGGAUGGGUAUUGCAUCGCAAGAUGUGGUAUUCAAUCAAACUCCGAAUUGGAAAGCUUUUGGAGAGGGAGUCAGAACGACCCGGCUAAGCGGGCCGCUCUAAAGGGAAACAACCCAGACUGUCGUCUAAGGCCUCUAAAUAGAAGCUAAGUGUUGAACGUAGUUAAAUUCCUCAGACAGCCAGGAGGUUGGCUCAGAAGCAGCCAUCCUUUAAAGAAAGCGUAACAGCUCACUGGUCGACUUUUUGGAGUUUGGCGCGGAAAAUGAACCGAGGCUAAGCUUCUUGCCGAAGACACAGACAUGGUGGUAGGGGAGCGUUCCGUUAACAGUGAAGAUUUGCCGUGAGGCAGGUUGGAGUGGACGGAAGUGAGAAUGCCGGAAUGAGUAGCGCAAUGGUUGUGAGAAUCAACCACGCCGAAACCCCAAGGUUUCCUGGGCUACAUUGUUUGACCCAGGGUAAGUCGGCACCUAAGGUGAGUCCCUCGCUGAGCGAGGGGGUAGCUGAUGGACGAGCCGUGAAUAUUCGGCUACAUAGUAAGUAUCGCUAAAUCGCGCAAGCGAAUAACUAGGGAUGGACAAAAUGGGAAAGACCGAACGCAUAUAGUGAAUGUGUGUCGCAAUCAGUAAGGUAGUUGGGCUUGGAAAAUCCGGCCUGGCGUUUAACCGAGCUGUGAUGGGAAAUCUGGCGAGUAAUCAACGGAUGACUCGGUAAUUUUCUGUUUUCAAGAAAAGAUUCGUAGUGAGAUACUUAUUAUGCCGUACCGCAAACCGACACUGGUGGGGUGGUCGAGUAGACCAAGGCGAUCGGGAGAAGGCAGUUCAAGGAACUCGGCAAAAAAGCUGGACGUAAUUUAGAGAGAUGUCCUUCCGCUUAAAGCGGACGCAGCGAAAGAUUAUUUCCCGACUGUUUAACUAAAACACAGGUCUGUGCAAACUUGAAAGAGAAGGUAUACAGGCUGAGGCCUGCCCAGUGCUCGUAAGUUAAGUGGAUGGCUGAGAUUACAUCAAGGUUUGAAAUGAAGCUCGAGUGAACGGCAGCAGUAACUAUAACUGUUCUAUGGUAGCGAAGUUCCUCGACAGGGAACUAGAAAGGUAUCCUAAAAAAGGAUUAACAUAUUGUGUCGGGUAAGUUCCGACCCGCACGAAAGGUUUAACGAGGGAAUAACUGUCUUGAACUGUCACCCGGCGAAUUUGAAAUGGCUGUGAAGAUGCGGCCUAACUCUACUAGGACAAAAAGACCCUAUGGAGCUUUACUGUAACCAGGCCCUGUUUUGGAUUUUGAGAUAGUUUAGAGUAGGAGGGACUCCGGUGUCAUAACUGGAGAAAAGUGAAACACCUCCCGUUUUGAAAUCUCAAGACUUACCCAAGGAAGCUGGAGACGCUUUCGGAGACAAGGUCUGGCUGGCAGUUUUACUGGGGAGGUAUCCUGCUAAAAGGUAACGCAGGAGUACUAAGGUGCACUAAACUCGGAUGGAAAUCGAGCGGGUCGUGUAACGGCAUAAGUGCGCUUGACUGUGAGAGCGGCGGCUCGAGCAGGGACGAAAGUCGGUCGUAGUGAUCCUCCGUCGCGUUGUGGGACGCACGGAGCUUAACGGAUAAAAGCUACCCUAGGGAUAACAGGCUGAUCGCCGCCAAGAGUCCAUAUCGACGCGGCGGUUUGGCACCUCGAUGGAGAUAACACGCUGAGCCCCUUCUAUGUAUAAAGCUACGAAGGGUGAUGGUAUAGUCUAUGCCGCUAGUAAUAGCGGGGAAACAUGGUCGGCUCAUCCUAUCCUGGAGGGGCAGUACCUUCCAAGGGUCGGGCUGUUCGCCCGUUAAAAGGGUACGCGAGCUGGGUUCAGAACGUAGGUGAUCGUGAGACAGUUCGGUCUCUAUCCAGUAGAGUCGUGGAGUUCUUGAGGGGGACUGACCUCAGUACGAGAGGACCAGGUUGGAGGUACCGCUGGUGUGCCGGUUGUAGCGUCAGCUGCAGCGCCGGGUGGCUAAGUACCUACGGGAUAACCGCUGAAAGCAUCUAAGUGGGAAGCCCUACCCAAGAUAAGGAACUCAUCCCGAUGCAAAUCGGGAGAAGACCCGGAGCAGACUACUCCGUAUAAGAGGCUGGCGGUGUAAGCACGGUAACGUGUUUAGCCUACCAGUACUAAUGGUCUAAUAG